AAAAAAACUCAGCAGCAUGGGGAGUAUAUAAGGAUAGGAUUUUUGAGCCUGGAGAGUUUGGAGGUUUUGAGGGGGAGUUGUUUGAAAUAUCUUGUGGAUUGCUUUGGAAGGUAGGAGGGAGUGAACUGUCCUUCACCUCAAGUCAGCUGAGUAGGGUUUCUAUGGAAAUUUGUUCUGUGCAAGUAGUUGACACAGUAUGAGAUGUGACUCACUUCUUAGUGAACUGAAAAUGGAGAGACUCGCUAGAGAAACCAGAAUAGCAGAUAAAUAGGGCUACUUUCUGAUAAUGCGACCUGUGAGACACCAUACAAAUUUUUGGCUUGGAGUCACUUAAAAGUGAUGUAAUUCUGAUCAAGAAGCUUCUGCAAGAGAGGAGACUGCAGCCAGCAUUCGGCCUCAUGUGAAGAAACUGCAGUCUACUUUUAGGAUAUUACUUCAUGAUUCUAGAAAUGAAAGGAUGGAACUGUCUGCUGCCUGUGUCUACAGAGAAGUUAGAGAAAUCCACAGGAGUUGGACACAAUGAGGUAAAACUGAUAUAAAGAAUAUAGGCCAGGCUCUGUGGUGCAUGCCUGUAAUCCCAACACUUUGGGAGGCCAAGAUGAGAGGAUCACUUGAAGAUAGGAGUUUGAGACCAUUCUGGGCUACACAGUGAGUGCCUGUCUCUAUAAAAAAUUUAAAAAUUUGUUAGUGUGGUAGCAUGCACCUGCAGUUCUGUAGUUCUAUCUACUCAGAAAGCUGAGGAAGGAUAAUGGCUUGAGCUUAAGAGGUCGAGGCUUUAGUGAGCCAUGACUGCAUCACUG
rnacentral:lncRNA from 1 species